UUAAGAACAUUUUUAGAAAUAUAGUUUAUUUACAUGUUUUUAGGUUCUUACAAACUUUGACGGACAGAGGAUAGUCCGACUUAAACUGCCUCUAGAAAUUUAUAAUAUCAGAAUUGUAUUAAAUUGGACUAAUCAUAUAUUUACCAGUUGCUUUUUAUUUAUUUAUUUCUAAAUUCGAAAACAUAUUGAACAUUUUAAUAUUUAAAAUUUUAAAAAUUGUUUUAUAUGAAUUUUUAUUCAUAAUAAAUUAAUUAUAUGAAAUUUUAUUAAUAAUAAAUUUAUUUAUUGAAAGUUGUAUCCUCUACAUAUUUAUAUGUGACUAAACUAAUUUAGAUGAGACUAUAUUUACAAAAUAGUGUUUUUUUAAAUAUAAUAUAUUUCAGUUAAGGGUUUUAAAUUUUACCACAAAAAAAUAACAACCAAAAAAUGCUACAUAAAAUAUAGUAUUGUUUAAUUUGAUUUAUAUAAAAAAUAAAUGUUUAUUAUUUACAGAAUUGGGCUAUACAAUAUAUAAUUCCGAAAUGAUUUACCCAUCAUUAAAAUUAAUCUGGCCCAUAUUAAUAUUAUCUUCAAUGUCAAUUAAUCCGGAAAAAAGUUUGUUAUAUUCUGUGCUAAUAAAAAAGUAAAGAAUUUUAUUUUGCUUUCUCCUUACCUUCGAUAUGUGGCUGCCUCUCUCUAUUUCUUAACUCUUCGUCAAAAACGCACGUGUGGAGAUUCCUUCAAAAACCUAAGUCAAAUACAGAAUCUGAACUACUUUGACUUCAUGUUCACUCUCAAUCUAUUUGUAAAUACCAUUGAUCUGUUGAAUUAAAGGUAUAAAUCAUGUACAACGACUCAGCUGGAGCACGGAUCAAGCUUUCAAAUUUCAUGUAGAAGAUCUGUUUUGGUCAAACUCACCUCCUAACACACAUGCUUCAGAGGAGAAGAUGAUCAUAGAACAUCCAAGAAUAUUAGAGAUAGUCGCAGUCGACCUGCAAAGAUAAGUUUUUAAUUACAAUCAGUUUCUGGUUUUCGAUGAUCUUGAGGUUUGGUUUUAAUUCUUGUAUAUUGAUUUGUAGGUAUAAAUCAUGUACAACGACUCAGCUGGAGCACGGAUCAAGCUUUCAAAUUUCAUGUAGAAGAUCUGUUUUGGUCAAACUCACCUCCUAACACACAUGCUUCAGAGGAGAAGAUGAUCAUAGAACAUCCAAGAAUAUUAUAGAUAGUCGCAGUCGACCUGCAAAGAUAAGUUUAAUGUUAAAACAUCAAUUUCUUAUGUGGCUUCAAAUAUCUUAACUUUAAACAGAUCAGUAUUGUGGUGAUUACAAUUGAAUCGCUCUUUUCUUGUGCUCAUGUAAGGGACAUGAUAGUAAAAAUCGACACAAUAUUCAGUUCAUAUGAAGCUCUAAGGUCUCAGCUAUACCUUAAAAUACUGAAGUGAUUUGCGAGAAAAAAAGAAGAGUCUACAUAUAUUACAAUCACGCUUAUGAGAUUUGAUCACUGAGAUGUAUUGAUUUCUUGUUUGUUUUAUAUUUAAAUAUAUUAACUAUGAGAGAUCA